rnacentral:misc_RNA from 1 species
GGAAGGAUCAUUAUUGAAUAAAUCUGGCGUUAGGUUGUAGCUGGCUCUCCGGAGCAUGUGCACACCUCGUCACCUUUAUCUUUCCACCUGUGCACACACUGUAGUCCUGGAUACCUCUCGCUGAAAGGCGGAUGCGGAGCCUGCUGUGACUUUGGAAACAAAGGCCCGGCUUGCUCUGAAUUUCCAGGUCUACGAUUUUUAUACACCCCUAAACGAAUGUUAUAGAAUGUAUAUCACUGGGCCUUUGUGCCUAUAAACCUUAUACAACUUUCAACAACGGAUCUCUUGGCUCUCGCAUCGAUGAAGAACGCAGCGAAAUGCGAUAAGUAAUGUGAAUUGCAGAAUUCAGUGAAUCAUCGAAUCUUUGAACGCACCUUGCGCUCCUUGGUAUUCCGAGGAGCAUGCCUGUUUGAGUGUCAUUAAAUUCUCAACCUAACACCUGUUUUGCAAUGGGUUUUGUUAGGCUUGGAUAUGGGGGCUUGCAGGUCCGCUCUUUUGUGGUCUGCUCCUCUGAAAUGCAUUAGUGGGUUUGUGCCCCUCAUCUAUUGGUGUGAUAAUUAUCUACGCCGUGGGUGAUGGAUUGGCCAUCAAUGAACCUGCUCAUAACCGUCCGUCUCGGACAACUUUGAUCAUUUUGACCUCAAAUCAGGUAAGACUACCCGCUGAACUUAAGCAUAUCAAUAAGCGGAGGAAAAGAAACUAACAAGGAUUCCCCUAGUAACUGCGAGUGAAGCGGGAAAAGCUCAAAUUUAAAAUCUGGUAGUCUUUGGCUGCCCGAGUUGUAAUCUAGAGAAGUGUUACCCGUGCUGGACCGUGUACAAGUCUCCUGGAAUGGAGCGUCAUAGAGGGUGAGAAUCCCGUCUUUGACACGGACUCCCAGUGCAUUGUGGUGCGCUCUCAACGAGUCGAGUUGUUUGGGAAUGCAGCUCAAAAUGGGUGGUGAAUUCCAUCUAAAGCUAAAUAUUGGCGAGAGACCGAUAGCGAACAAGUACCGUGAGGGAAAGAUGAAAAGAACUUUGGAAAGAGAGUUAAACAGUACGUGAAAUUGUUGAAAGGGAAACGCUUGAAGUCAGUCGCGUUGUCCAGAAAUCAACCUUGGUUCUCCUGGGUGUAUUUUCUGGUUAACGGGCCAGCAUCAGUUUUGACCGGUGGAAAAAGUCCAAGGGAAUGUGGCAUCUUCGGAUGUGUUAUAGCCCUUGGUCGUAUGCAUCGGUUGGGACUGAGGAAUUCAGCACGCCGCAAGGCCGGGGUUCGCCCACGUUCGUGCUUAGGAUGCUGGCAUAAUGGCUUUAAUCGACCCGUCUUGAAACACGGACCAAGGAGUCUAACAUGCCUGCGAGUGUUUGGGUGGAAAACCCGAGCGCGUAAUGAAAGUGAAAGUCAGGAUCUCUGUCGCGGAGAGCACUGACGCCCAGACCAGAAGUUUACGGACGGUUCUGCGGUAAAGCAUGUAUGUUGGGACCCGAAAGAUGGUGAACUAUGCCUGAAUAGGGUGAAGCCAGAGGAAACUCUGGUGGAGGCUCGUAGCGAUUCUGACGUGCAAAUCGAUCGUCGAAUUUGGGUAUAGGGGCGAAAGACUAAUCGAACCAUCUAGUAGCUGGUUCCUGC